UACGGGGGGUGCAAGCGUUGUUCGGAAUCAUUGGGCGUAAAGAGCGUGUAGGCGGCUUGACAAGUCAGAUGUGAAAGCCCUGGGCUUAACCCAGGAAGUGCAUUUGAAACUGUCUGGCUCGAGUAAGGGAGAGGAAAGUGGAAUUCCUGGUGUAGCGGUGAAAUGCGUAGAUAUCAGGAGGAACACCGGUGGCGAAGGCGACUUUCUGGCCCUAUACUGACGCUGAGACGCGAGAGCGUGGGGAGCAAACAGG
rnacentral:rRNA from 1 species